rnacentral:rRNA from 1 species
GGGGAAUUUUCCGCAAUGGGCGAAAGCCUGACGGAGCAAUACCGCGUGAGGGAGGAAGGCUCUUGGGUCGUAAACCUCUUUUCUCAGGGAAGAACACAAUGACGGUACCUGAGGAAUAAGCAUCGGCUAACUCCGUGCCAGAAGCCGCGGUAAUACGGAGGAUGCAAGCGUUAUCCGGAAUGAUUGGGCGUAAAGCGUCCGCAGGUGGCAAUGUAAGUCUGCUGUUAAAGAGUGAGGCUCAACCUCAUAAGAGCAGUGGAAACUACAUAGCUAGAGUACGUUCGGGGCAGAGGGAAUUCCUGGUGUAGCGGUGAAAUGCGUAGAGAUCAGGAAGAACACCAGUGGCGAAGGCGCUCUGCUAGGCCGUAACUGACACUGAGGGACGAAAGCUAGGGGAGCGAAUGGGA